UGGGGCCACAGCAUCUGACUUAAGAAUGUA
rnacentral:piRNA from 1 species